rnacentral:rRNA from 1 species
AUGGUUAAGUUAGAAAGGGCGCACGGUGAAUGCCUUGGCACUAGGAGCCGAUGAAGGACGGGACUAACACCGAUAUGCUUCGGGGAGCUGUAAGUGAGCUUUGAUCCGGAGAUUUCCGAAUGGGGAAACCCACUGUUCGUAAUGGAACAGUAUCUUUAUCUGAAUACAUAGGAUAUUGAAGGCAGACCCGGGGAACUGAAACAUCUAAGUACCCGGAGGAAGAGAAAGCAAAUGCGAUUUCCUGAGUAGCGGCGAGCGAAACGGAAUUAGCCCAAACCAAGAGGCUUGCCUCUUGGGGUUGUAGGACACUCUAUACGGAGUUACAAAGGAACGAAGUAAAUGAAGCGACCUGGAAAGGUCCGUCGAAGAAGGUAACAACCCUGUAGUUGAAACUUCGUUCCCUCUUGAGUGGAUCCUGAGUACGGCGGAACACGUGAAAUUCCGUCGGAAGCUGGGAGGACCAUCUCCCAAGGCUAAAUACUACCUAGUGACCGAUAGUGAACCAGUACCGUGAGGGAAAGGUGAAAAGCACCCCGGAAGGGGAGUGAAAGAGAUCCUGAAACCGUGUGCCUACAAGUAGUCAGAGCCCGUUAACGGGUGAUGGCGUGCCUUUUGUAGAAUGAACCGGCGAGUUACGAUCCCAUGCAAGGUUAAGCUGAUAAGGCGGAGCCGUAGCGAAAGCGAGUCUGAAUAGGGCGUUUAGUAUGUGGUUGUAGACCCGAAACCAGGUGAUCUACCCAUGUCCAGGGUGAAGUUCAGGUAACACUGAAUGGAGGCCCGAACCCACGCACGUUGAAAAGUGCGGGGAUGAGGUGUGGGUAGCGGAGAAAUUCCAAUCGAACCUGGAGAUAGCUGGUUCUCUCCGAAAUAGCUUUAGGGCUAGCCUCAUGUUGURAGAGUCUUGGAGGUAGAGCACUGAUUGGACUAGGGGCCCCCAACGGGUUACCGAAUUCAGUCAAACUCCGAAUGCCAAAGACUUAUCCAUGGGAGUCAGACUGCGAGUGAUAAGAUCCGUAGUCAAAAGGGAAACAGCCCAGACCACCAGCUAAGGUCCCCAAGUAUACGUUAAGUGGAAAAGGAUGUGGAGUUGCUUAGACAACCAGGAUGUUGGCUUAGAAGCAGCCACCAUUUAAAGAGUGCGUAAUAGCUCACUGGUCGAGUGACUCUGCGCCGAAAAUGUACCGGGGCUAAACGUAUCACCGAAGCUGUGGAUUGACAUCUUWGAUGUCAGUGGUAGGAGAGCGUUCUAAGUGCWGYGAAGUCAGACCGUAAGGACUGGUGGAGCGCUUAGAAGUGAGAAUGCCGGUAUGAGUAGCGAAAGACAAGUGAGAAUCUUGUCCACCGAAUGCCUAAGGUUUCCUGAGGAAGGCUCGUCCGCUCAGGGUUAGUCGGGACCUAAGCCGAGGCUGAAAAGCGUAGGCGAUGGCCAACAGGUUGAUAUUCCUGUACCACCUCCCCGCCGUUUGAGUAAUGGGGGGACGCAGUAGGAUAGGGUAAGCGCGCUGCUGGAUAUGCGCGUUCAAGCAGUUAGGCUGAUGAGUAGGCAAAUCCGCUCAUCAUAAAGGCUGAGCUGUGAUGACGAGGGAAUUAUAGUACCGAAGUUCCUGAUUCCACACUGCCAAGAAAAGCCUCUAGCGAGGCGGGAGGUGCCCGUACCGCAAACCGACACAGGUAGGCGAGGAGAGAAUCCUAAGGUGAUCGAGAGAACUCUCGUUAAGGAACUCGGCAAAAUGACCCCGUAACUUCGGGAGAAGGGGUGCUCUGGUAGGGUGUAUAGCCCGAGAGAGCCGCAGUGAAUAGGCCCAGGCGACUGUUUAGCAAAAACACAGGUCUCUGCGAAGCCGCAAGGCGAAGUAUAGGGGCUGACGCCUGCCCGGUGCUGGAAGGUUAAGAGGAGGGGUUAUCCUUUGGGAGAAGCUCUGAAUCGAAGCCCCAGUAAACGGCGGCCGUAACUAUAACGGUCCUAAGGUAGCGAAAUUCCUUGUCGGGUAAGUUCCGACCCGCACGAAAGGCGUAACGAUCUGGGCACUGUCUCAACGAGAGACUCGGUGAAAUUAUAGUACCUGUGAAGAUGCAGGUUACCCGCGACAGGACGGAAAGACCCCGUGGAGCUUUACUGUAGCCUGAUAUUGAAUUUUGGUACAGCUUGUACAGGAUAGGUAGGAGCCUGAGAAGCCGGAGCGCUAGCUUCGGUGGAGGCGUCGGUGGGAUACUACCCUGGCUGUAUUGAAAUUCUAACCCGCGGCCCUGAUCGGGCCGGGAGACAGUGUCAGGUGGGCAGUUUGACUGGGGCGGUCGCCUCCUAAAAUGUAACGGAGGCGCCCAAAGGUUCCCUCAGAAUGGUUGGAAAUCAUUCGUAGAGUGUAAAGGCACAAGGGAGCUUGACUGCGAGACCUACAAGUCGAGCAGGGACGAAAGUCGGGCUUAGUGAUCCGGUGGUUCCGCAUGGAAGGGCCAUCGCUCAACGGAUAAAAGCUACCCCGGGGAUAACAGGCUUAUCUCCCCCAAGAGUCCACAUCGACGGGGAGGUUUGGCACCUCGAUGUCGGCUCAUCGCAUCCUGGGGCUGUAGUCGGUCCCAAGGGUUGGGCUGUUCGCCCAUUAAAGCGGUACGCGAGCUGGGUUCAGAACGUCGUGAGACAGUUCGGUCCCUAUCCGUCGUGGGCGUAGGAAAUUUGAGAGGAGCUGUCCUUAGUACGAGAGGACCGGGAUGGACACACCGCUGGUGUACCAGUUGUCUUGCCAAAGGCAUCGCUGGGUAGCUAUGUGUGGACGGGAUAAGUGCUGAAAGCAUCUAAGCAUGAAGCCCCCCUCAAGAUGAGAUUUCCCAUAGCGCAAGCUAGUAAGAUCCCUGAAAGAUGAUCAGGUUGAUAGGUCAGAGGUGGAAGCGUGGCGACAUGUGUAGCUGACUGAUACUAAUCGAUCGAGGACUUAACCAAA